AAGGGUUCCUGCGUAAAGCUAAUCUGCGCAGGGUUAGCCGGCUCCUAAGGCGAGGCCGAAAGGCGUAGUCGAUGGGAACGGGGCGAACAUUCCCCGGCCAGCGGAUGGUGACGGAUGCCGUAAAUCGUUCGAGCUUAUCGGAUUGCUCGGGCGGUGAAGGGGUCCCAGGAAAUAGCCUCCGCGUGAGACCGUACCCGAAACCGACACAGGUGGACUGGUAGAGUAUACCAAGGCGCUUGAGAGAACUAUGUUGAAGGAACUCGGCAAUUUACCUCCGUAACUUCGGGAUAAGGAGGCCUCUGUCUUGGGCAACCAGGGCAGAGGGGCACAGACCAGGGGGUGGCGACUGUUUAUCUAAAACACAGGGCUCUGCGAAGUCUGUAAGACGACGUA
rnacentral:rRNA from 1 species